rnacentral:lncRNA from 1 species
UGAACCAGGCUCCUUGUUAACUAUGUUGUAAGGCUUUCUAGCGACUUAGGUCAGUGUUUCCCAAAUCCGGUGCUCCAGUACCCCCAGCAGCCCAACUCCAGUCUUCCAGUACCCCCAGCAGCCCAACUCCAGUCUUCCAGUACCCCCAGCAGCCCAACUCCAGUCUUCCAGUACCCCCAGCAGCCCAACUCCAGUCUUCCAACAGCCCAACUCCAGUCUUCCAGCAGCCCAACUCCAGUCUUCCACAGCCCCAACUCCAGUCUUCCAGUACCCCCAGCAGCCCAACUCCAGUCUUCCAGUACCCCCAGCAGCCCAACUCCAGUCUUCCAGUACCCCCAGCAGCCCAACUCCAGUCUUCCAGCAGCCCAACUCCAGUCUUCCAGUACCCCCAGCAGCCCAACUCCAGUCUUCCAGUAUCCCCAGCAGCCCAACUCCAGUCUUCCAGUACCCCCAGCAGCCCAACUCCAGUCUUCCAGUACCCCCAGCAGCCCCAACUCCAGUCUUCCAGUACCCCCAGCAGCCC